rnacentral:SRP_RNA from 1 species
GUGAGCAAGUAGUGAUUGCUUGUAACCCGAGCGGGGCAAUAAGCUAGUGUGGAUGUCAAUUGAGGAGCAUGUGCCUGGGUCUAGUGCUACAAACUGUGGACCACCCAUUCCAAGUUCUGUAGUGGGUUUUGGGUGCCUUGGGUAAAGCCUUUGCAUCCUAACACCUAAAGUGGCGGACAUUGCGUGAGGCUGGCUUCACAGAGCAGCGAGUACCGCCCGCCACCAGCGGUGGAAGGAUAAUGAGCCACUAUGCUAUAGGCCAAUUGAGGCACAUGUGCCCUCCCUGGUAGACCACUAUCUUU